rnacentral:rRNA from 1 species
GCGGCGUGCUUAACACAUGCAAGUCGAACCGGUGCUUGCGCCGGGGAUUAGUGGCGAACGGGUGAGUAACACGUGAGUAACCUGCCCUUGACUCUGGGAUAAGCCUGGGAAACUGGGUCUAAUACCGGAUAUGACUGCUCCGCGCAUGCGGUGGUGGUGGAAAGCUUUUGCGGUUUUGGAUGGACUCGCGGCCUAUCAGCUUGUUGGUGGGGUAAUGGCCUACCAAGGCGACGACGGGUAGCCGGCCUGAGAGGGUGACCGGCCACACUGGGACUGAGACACGGCCCAGACUCCUACGGGAGGCAGCAGUGGGGAAUAUUGCACAAUGGGCGGAAGCCUGAUGCAGCGACGCCGCGUGAGGGAUGACGGCCUUCGGGUUGUAAACCUCUUUCAGUAGGGAAGAAGCGAAAGUGACGGUACCUGCAGAAGAAGCGCCGGCUAACUACGUGCCAGCAGCCGCGGUAAUACGUAGGGCGCAAGCGUUAUCCGGAAUUAUUGGGCGUAAAGAGCUCGUAGGCGGUUUGUCGCGUCUGCUGUGAAAGACCGGGGCUCAACUCCGGUUCUGCAGUGGGUACGGGCAGACUAGAGUGAUGUAGGGGAGACUGGAAUUCCUGGUGUAGCGGUGAAAUGCGCAGAUAUCAGGAGGAACACCGAUGGCGAAGGCAGGUCUCUGGGCAUUAACUGACGCUGAGGAGCGAAAGCAUGGGGAGCGAACAGGAUUAGAUACCCUGGUAGUCCAUGCCGUAAACGUUGGGCACUAGGUGUGGGGGACAUUCCACGUUUUCCGCGCCGUAGCUAACGCAUUAAGUGCCCCGCCUGGGGAGUACGGCCGCAAGGCUAAAACUCAAAGGAAUUGACGGGGGCCCGCACAAGCGGCGGAGCAUGCGGAUUAAUUCGAUGCAACGCGAAGAACCUUACCAAGGCUUGACAUGAACCGGUAACGCCUGGAAACAGGUGCCCCGCUUGCGGUCGGUUUACAGGUGGUGCAUGGUUGUCGUCAGCUCGUGUCGUGAGAUGUUGGGUUAAGUCCCGCAACGAGCGCAACCCUCGUUCUAUUGCCAGCGGUUCGGCCGGGGACUCAUAGGAGACUGCCGGGGUCAACUCGGAGGAAGGUGGGGACGACGUCAAAUCAUCAUGCCCCUUAUGUCUUGGGCUUCACGCAUGCUACAAUGGCCGGUACAAAGGGUUGCGAUACUGUGAGGUGGAGCUAAUCCCAAAAAGCCGGUCUCAGUUCGGAUUGGGGUCUGCAACUCGACCCCAUGAAGUCGGAGUCGCUAGUAAUCGCAGAUCAGCAACGCU